rnacentral:rRNA from 1 species
UUUAGUACCGUAGCUAACGCGUGAAGUUGACCGCCUGGGGAGUACGGCCGCAAGGUUAAAACUCAAAGGAAUUGACGGGGACCCGCACAAGCGGUGGAUGAUGUGGAUUAAUUCGAUGCAACGCGAAAAACCUUACCUACCCUUGACAUGCCAGGAACUUGCCAGAGAUGGCUUGGUGCCCGAAAGGGAACCUGGACACAGGUGCUGCAUGGCUGUCGUCAGCUCGUGUCGUGAGAUGUUGGGUUAAGUCCCGCAACGAGCGCAACCCUUGUCAUUAGUUGCCAUCAUUUAGUUGGGCACUCUAAUGAGACUGCCGGUGACAAACCGGAGGAAGGUGGGGAUGACGUCAAGUCCUCAUGGCCCUUAUGGGUAGGGCUUCACACGUCAUACAAUGGUCGGUACAGAGGGUUGCCAAGCCGCGAGGUGGAGCCAAUCCCAGAAAGCCGAUCGUAGUCCGGAUCGUAGUCUGCAACUCGACUACGUGAAGUCGGAAUCGCUAGUAAUCGCG